rnacentral:lncRNA from 1 species
UAUUUAUUUAUUUAUUUAUUUAUGAAAAGAGAGCAGCCACCCCUUGGUGGGGAUUUUGGCAAUCAGGUUGAGCAGGUGCACUGAGUUGCAUGGUUUGGUGAUUGCAAAAAGGCUGCAGCUGGAUGUCGCUGGCUUAGGGCUGCCUCUGUGGGGUCAUUGUAUUGCUGUGGUGCUGGGACACAGGAGGUAAGGUGUGAUAGUGGCUCAUGAGGAGUGGUAAUAUAUGUACCUGAGCUUUCUCCUUGAGCUGAUCAGCCUCUUUGGUUCUUGUUUUCUUCUUUGUAACAGCGGAACUUGACCUUGGCCUCGUGGGCUGCAAGAUUUAAAGCGUGGUGGCUGUAUGCCAGCAGGGAUGAAAGCAAGACCUCACAUUGGAGGGGUCACCUGGAGGAGGGGGCUCUGGACCGCUGGCUCAUAUCUGCCCUGGGACUGGCUCUGCUUCGUACCGGACCACGUCCACCUGCCUGUGAGUUCUGAGCUAAAUAGCCUCUAAUACUUUUUCAAAGAUAUGAAGCUGUGUGCAGAAAUGUUGAGGACGACGAGGAACAUCAGGACCUGUGUACAAGGGAUAAUCCAAUGGAUUACAAUUUUUCUACUUUUCUCUUCCAAUUUUGUAUAGUUCUUGGAUUAAGAAAUAACAUCAUAAGAUAAUUGGUUAAAGCACAGAAAAAUGGAAACAAACCCAUUAAUGAGUAGGAUAACAAUGAAAUUUUCUCUAUAUAUUAUGUGCUGCAGGUAAUGUAUCUAGUUGCCAAGAAUAUAGCUUUUAUAUAUCAGCUGACAAUCAUGCAAUCUCACAGGACUGGCCUUGGUACAACACUAUUAUGAAGCUAGAAUGAAUUGAAAGAAAUUAGUGAAUAUUGCUUGAAAGAUUAAGAACUUGUUUUCCAUAUCUUUGUUUGUAAUAAGAUCAAAAAAAAAAAAAAAGCAUAAAAGAGUAGGAAAAAAAAUACAGAAAGAGCUGUUACUUGGAAGGUGAAUAGUUCGUAGCAUAGUGGUGUGUUAGUUUUCUUCUAGAAGAGACUGCCUGUCUCUCUCUCUUUCAGAGUGAAGUCCAUGUAGUUGCUCAAGUAUGGCAAUUCUAAUGGAAGAAAAUAGGGAUGAGAGCCUCUUAUGAAGGGCCCUUUGAACUUCUUCCUUUCCUUUAGGUCUGAGUAAAUCUGGAUUUUCUGACCUACAGAUCAUCAAUUCAUUAUCCUGAAUGCCUCUCUGUGCAGAGGCUUUGUUUAUUGUUAGUUUAGGUAUGUUUUUAUGGGUAGUUCAGGACCAACAUGCAGGUUUGAGUGUUGGUUGGCCUAGUCUGACUUCAGUAGCAACUGUAUAGGUCAUAUUUGAGUCUCAGGCAUUUUAAACAACAGACUUUUUGCUGUGGAAGUUCUUAGAAUCUUAAGAAAAAGAGUAAGUGGGGACCUGGAGAGUCCCACAGCAGUCAGGUACCACAAACCAUUUCUAAUGAAAUUUGGAUAUGUUUUUAGUGUUUGAGUAGGGAAGACUAUUUUAUAUCCUCUUACGUUCAGUCUGUAGUCAAGACUUUAGAUCCCAUUCUGUAUUCCUUAUGCUGGCUAUGAUAGUCUCUAUUUGUGCUUCCCACUAAGUUGUAAGGGACUUCACCUAUCCAUUGAGAAAGCAUACGCAAGAUGGAGUGACAUUUGCUAACUAGCAGCAGACAAAUAAUUUACCCUUCAGCCAUCCUGCUAACAGAUUAACAGUUAAAACACACUUUCAGUAGAUAGGGGAUAGAUCAUAUAGUUUAAAUGACAAAUACUGCCCUUCCCCACUGGCAAGAGGCAUAUAUGAAUGACAGUAAAUUAAUAAACCAAAUAAACUAUGUAGUGAAGCCA